rnacentral:rRNA from 1 species
UACGUAGGGUGCAAGCGUUGUCCGGAUUUAUUGGGCGUAAAGAGCGCGUAGGCGGCCUGAUAGGUCAGCUGUGAAAACUCGAGGCUCAACCUCGAGACGUCGGUUGAAACCAUCUGGCUAGAGUCCGGAAGAGGAGUGUGGAAUUCCCGGUGUAGCGGUGAAAUGCGCAGAUAUCGGGAAGAACACCCGUGGCGAAGGCGGCACUCUGGGACGGUACUGACGCUGAGACGCGAAAGCGUGGGGAGCGAACAGG